rnacentral:pre_miRNA from 1 species
GUUUGUUUAUGUUUGGAUUGUGUUCAGCAUAAAUUACAGGUGUGUUUCCCUGUGUGGGUGGUGUUCAGCACCAAGGACGGGUAUUUUUGCAU